rfam:Camelus ferus unplaced genomic scaffold scaffold1866, whole genome shotgun sequence.
GAGGGUAGAGCUCAAGUGGUAGUGGGCAUGCUUAGCAUGCAUGAGGUCCUGGGUUCAAUCCCCAGUAUCUUCU